rnacentral:lncRNA from 1 species
GGUGGUCCAAGGGGCUGUGGAUGUGGAUAUCGGUGCCAACCCAUCUGCUGAGGGUGGAGGUGAGGAUGAGGGUGUCGAUGACCAGGCUGUGAAGGUGGUUGACAUUGUUGACACCUUCCGUCUUCAGGUUGGUCCUUCUUUAAUGUUCUUGGCCCAUGUUUGAUAUGUGGUUUGUUCAUAUAAUCGUGCUAAUCCUGCAUUCCCUUUACAGGAGCAACCUGCUUUUGACAAGAAGCAGUUUGUCGCCUACAUUAAGCGCUACAUCAAGAACCUGACUCCCAAGCUGGAAGCGGAUGAGCAAGAAGUCUUCAAGAAGAACGUUGAAGGUGCCACCAAGUUCCUUCUUAGCAAGAUCAAGGACCUUCAGUUGUAAGUCCCUCAUUCGCCUUAGCUCAUGGGUAUAUCACUGUACUACGUGAAAUACCUACUGGUAGUCAAUUCCUUUAUCAUCUCAGUACUAAAUUUCCCUUUGCUGCGAGCAAUUAUUGAGUUCGUAUGAACACAUGAACCCUAGCUUUACGUGAUCUCUGUUCUUAACUGUAUGACAGUUCCAUCCAAUAUGCGAAAUGCGAAGUGCGUUCUUGUAUAUCUUCCUACGAAGCUCGUAGCAUCAUAUUAAUGGACCUCUUGCUGUAUCUUGCAGCUUUGUUGGUGAGAGCAUGGGUGAUGAUGCCAGCGUGGUGUUUGCGUACUACAAGGAAGGAGCCACUGACCCGACAUUCCUGUAUUUCGCGCAUGGGCUUAAGGAGGUCAAGUGCUAAGCGCACUGUAUGCUAAAACUAUCAGUUGUCC